UGGAUGGCUCAGUUGGUUAGAGCAUGGUGCUGAUAACGUCAAUGUUUCAGGUUUGAUUCCCAUAUGGGAUAG